rnacentral:rRNA from 1 species
AGCCUGAUGCAGCGACGCCGCGUGGGGGAUGACGGUCUUCGGAUUGUAAACUCCUUUCAGUAGGGACGAAGCGAAAGUGACGGUACCUGCAGAAGAAGCACCGGCCAACUACGUGCCAGCAGCCGCGGUAAUACGUAGGGUGCAAGCGUUGUCCGGAAUUACUGGGCGUAAAGAGCUCGUAGGCGGUUUGUCACGUCGUCUGUGAAAUCCUCCAGCUCAACUGGGGGCGUGCAGGCGAUACGGGCAGACUUGAGUACUACAGGGGAGACUGGAAUUCCUGGUGUAGCGGUGAAAUGCGCAGAUAUCAGGAGGAACACCGGUGGCGAAGGCGGGUCUCUGGGUAGUAACUGACGCUGAGGAGCGAAAGCAUGGGGAGCAAACAGGAUUAGAUACCCUGGUAGUCCAUGCCGUAAACGGUGGGCGCUAGGUGUGGGGUCCUUCCACGGAUUCCGUGCCGUAGCUAACGCAUUAAGCGCCCCG